rnacentral:rRNA from 1 species
UACGUAGGGUGCAAGCGUUGUCCGGAAUUAUUGGGCGUAAAGAGCUCGUAGGCGGUUUGUCGCGUCUGCUGUGAAAACGCGAGGCUCAACCUCGCGCCUGCAGUGGGUACGGGCAGACUAGAGUGCGGUAGGGGAGAUUGGAAUUCCUGGUGUAGCGGUGGAAUGCGCAGGUAUCAGGAGGAACACCGAUGGCGAAGGCAGAUCUCUGGGCCGUAACUGACGCUGAGGAGCGAAAGCAUGGGGAGCGAACAGG